GCUAUUUGUGUAACAUAAUCAACCACAUAUUUUUUAUAGUGUUUUACUCCGUGCUUGGCUAGAAAAAUAAAUACAAAUGGAAACUCGCAAGUUGCCGAAAAUCUUCGCCGUGAUUCUGCUAAAAAACAGUUUUAAUGGAAUUAAAACCAACAAAUGUACGCGUAAAUCACCCCGUAUUUUGCCUAUUUUUAACGUGAAGUGAUGUUUCAAUGGUCUGUAUGAUGGCUGCUGCAAAAAAAAAACAACUGAAAAUUUCACCGCUACUGUCCCCAACCUCAAGGAAUGUUUGGAUUACCUGUGGAUUCGGCUACAAAUUGGGAUAUAAGGACCGCGGACUAGCCAAACCGUACAACCCACCUGCCGCCACAUGCAACAAAUUAGGUUGCACCAGGCGUAUCUUCCGGAUUCGUAGCUGUAGUAGAACGGCUUAUCUGAAGCGAAAAGUUAGGACGCGACUGGAUUUCCACGAUGGUGCAUCAUCCUGCAGGAUUUCCAACUUAUCAAUGAAGACAACCGCUGUUAUGGCGUAGGCGCGAUUUUAAUUUUUUUUGUAUCCACUUGUGAGCGGUUAAACAAGUCCUCAAAAUGAAAUCGGAGUUUGCCGGAAAAUCAAAAGUGCAAAUUAGAGAUUUAAGAAGCAAAAAAAAAUUAAAAAUCGAUUUGUAUGAUAUAAACGCAA